UACAGAGGCCACGAGCGUUAGGCGGAAUCACUGGGCUUAAAGCGUGUGUAGGUGGAUGACUAAGUACCUUGUGAAAUCCCACGGCUCAACCGUGGAACUGCUUGGUAUACUGGUUGUCUUGAGGCACUCAGGGGCGAGCGGAACAGAUGGUGGAGCGGUGAAAUGCGUAGAUAUCAUCUGGAACGCCAAUGGUGAAGACAGCUCGCUGGGGGGUGUACUGACACUGAGACACGAAAGCCAGGGGAGCAAACGGG
rnacentral:rRNA from 1 species